rnacentral:tRNA from 1 species
GCCGUUGUGGCGGAACUGGUAUACGCGCACGACUCAAAAUCGUGUUCCCUCGGGAAUAUGGGUUCGAUUCCCAUCAACGGCACCA